UACGAAGGGGGCGAGCGUUGUUCGGAAUUACUGGGCGUAAAGCGCGUGUAGGCGGUUGUUCAAGUCGGGUGUGAAAGCCUUGAGCUCAACUCAAGAAAUGCACUCGAUACUGGAUGACUUGAGGACCGGAGAGGAUAGUGGAAUUCCCAGUGUAGUGGUGAAAUACGUAGAGAUUGGGAAGAACACCAGUGGCGAAGGCGGCUAUCUGGACGGUUUCUGACGCUAAGACGCGAAAGCGUGGGGAGCAAACAGG
rnacentral:rRNA from 1 species